rnacentral:rRNA from 1 species
GAGUUUGAUUAUGGCUCAGGAUGAACGCUAGCGGGAGGCCUAACACAUGCAAGCCGAGCGGGAUUUGUUGGUUAGCUUGCUAACUAACAAUGAGAGCGGCGUACGGGUGCGUAACACGUGUGCAACCUGCCUUUAUCUGGGGGAUAGCCUUUCGAAAGGAAGAUUAAUACCCCAUAAUAUAUUGAUUGGCAUCAGUUAAUAUUGAAAGCUCCGGCGGAUAGAGAUGGGCACGCGUAAGAUUAGCUAGUUGGUGAGGUAACGGCUCACCAAGGCUGCGAUCUUUAGGGGGCCUGAGAGGGUGAUCCCCCACACUGGUACUGAGACACGGACCAGACUCCUACGGGAGGCAGCAGUGAGGAAUAUUGGACAAUGGGUGAGAGCCUGAUCCAGCCAUCCCGCGUGAAGGACUAAGGACCUAUGGUUUGUAAACUUCUUUUAUACAGGGAUAAACCUACUCUCGUGAGG